GACGAACGCUGGCGGCGUGCUUAACACAUGCAAGUCGAACGGAAAGGCCCUGCUUUUGUGGGGUUCUCGAGUGGCGAACGUGUGAGUAACACGUGAGUAUCCUGCCCUUUACUUUGUGAUAACUUCAGGAAACUGGUGCUAAUACCUGAUAGGAGCUCCUGCUGCAUGGUGGUGGUUGGAAAGUUUCGGCGGUUGUGGAUGUACUCGCGGGUUAUCAGCUUGUUGGUGGGGUAGUGGCUUACCAAGGCUUUGGCGGGUAGCCGGCAUGAGAAGGUGACCGGCGAAAUAGGGACUGAGAGAAGGCACAGACUGGUAAGGGAGGAAGAAGGGGGGAAUAUUGAACCAUGGGAGGAAGGAUGAUGAAGAAAGGCCGCGUGCGGGAAGACGGGCUAAGGGUUGAAAAAGGAUAGAGAGUGAGAAGAAGGGUGAGUGAAGGUAAUGGGUAAAGAAGGACCGGCUAACUACGUG
rnacentral:rRNA from 1 species